CUAAAAUUUUAAAAUCUUUAAAUCUCCAAAUUGUCAAACCGCAAAUCCCCAAAUCCCUAAAUCCCUAAAUCCUGUCAAAGAAGUCAGCAUUAACAGAAAGAAAUCGUAAUGUACAUCAAGUGAAGAGAUCUUUGCGAAUGAAGGAAUGAAAAUCGCGCAAAUUCCUGCACGAUGAAUAUAUCUAUAAAAAAUAAGCAGCAACGAUGCAGUGCGGCUCUCCGUGACAUCUUAAUUCGUUGAAAUUGAGACUGCGGCUAAAGAUGACCGUCUCGGAUGAAAGUUUAUGCGCGUCUGACUUGCCGCGGAGCAGAAGAAGAAAAUUCAUUGACCUUAUUACUUAAAUGGCGGCCACUCGUAGCGGCUGCAAUCAAAGGAUCCGUUGGUCGAUCACGUUUAAUGUUGCCGGAGCACUUUGAACUGGAAAAUGUGCUUUCAAUAGUUCCUUCAAUUAUCGAUUACGCUUUCCCAUUAAACUCCGCGAAAACUGUACCGUUCUUUACGCUCCGAUGACUAGAUAUUUUAUACGAAAAUUAGAUUCGAUUAUUCAUUUGCAGGUGACGUUUUGAAAUUUAUAAAUGUCAGACGGGAUGAAGGUUUUUAUACAGUUUGAGAGGAAAAUGUGACGUAGCGAAAUAUUUCGAUGCAAAUAAAAAUUUGUGAGCGGUGGUUGACGACGAAUAGGUUAAGUAAAAACGACCAGUAUAGCGAUCGGGUUAAAGUUGUCUACAUCGCAGUAAAUUCUUUCGAUGUUUGCCACGUUCUUCAAAUUUUCCAGCUGUUCGAGCCGAAGCUACGACCUCAGCAAUUCUGAAAUGCUAAAACAACGUUGAAACUGCAAGCAAAGCGGGAUAAUCCAUCGAGCCGAAAUCAAGCCGAACCAACAACGUUCCUUCCGAACGAUUCCCGUUCGGCUAGAAACGAAUCAUCGACAAGGAAACAACGCGUAACCAGCGAAAAAUAACUCCGGUGUAUCUCCUACGACCACCGUCAAAGGUUUACGGUACUGCACUGCUUUAUUUGGGAGCCACUGAUUUACAAGGACAUCCCGUGGAGAAGAAGCUAUUCCAGUUAUUGGUGUAAUCGGAUUGCUCCCUGUCGAGUGUCACUGAUAGAACACUAAGGAGGCAAUGGUACAGCACCUACCUCUACGAAUAACUAUCCCACGAAAAAAAGAUUGAUAUUAAUGCGACUACAAUAUUCGGUGAAGCGUGUUGAUCCUGUCCCCGAUGAUCGUUUCAUCGACUUUCAUUAAAAGUGCCCGGAUCGAACACAGCUGUCCCUGUCGAUUCAUGUAUUAAUCAUCAUUAUAACUCUUUAAUGAAACGAUAGUAAAGGUCUACUUCUAAGAAUCCUUGCUGCUUUCAUUCAAAUUAAUUAAUCAUUAAAAGCUCUUUGUUGUUCCA
rnacentral:lncRNA from 1 species